AAGGAUCAUUAUUGAAAUAAACCUGAUGGGUUGCUGCUGGCCCUCUAGGGAGCAUGUGCACACCUGUUAUCUUUAUAUCUCCACCUGUGCACCUUUUGUAGAUCUGGAUAUCUUUCUGAAUGCCUGGCAUUCAGGUUUGAGGAAUUGACUUUUGACUUUUCCUUACAUUUCCAGGCCUAUGUUUUCUUCAUAUACACCAUUUAUGUUAUAGAAUGUAAUUGAAAGGGCCUUUGUGCCUACAAACCUUAUACAACUUUCAGCAACGGAUCUCUUGGCUCUCGCAUCGAUGAAGAACGCAGCUGACAUGUAGCGAACUAUAAAAACUUUUAACAACGGAUCUCUUGGUUCUA
rnacentral:misc_RNA from 1 species